UACGGGAGGCAGCAGUGGGGAAUAUUGCACAAUGGGCGCAAGCCUGAUGCAGCCAUGCCGCGUGUAUGAAAAAGGCCUUCGGGUUGUAAAGUACUUUCAGUCGUGAGGAAGGUGUUAAGGUUAAUAACCUUAGCAAUUGACGUUAGCGACAGAAGAAGCACCGGCUAACUCCGUGCCAGCAGCCGCGGUAAUACGGAGGGUGCGAGCGUUAAUCGGAAUUACUGGGCGUAAAGGGCACGCAGGCGGUUAAUUAAGUUGGAUGUGAAAUCCCCGGGCUUAACCUGGGAAUGGCACUCAAGACUGGUUAGCUAGAGUCUUGUAGAGGGGGUAGAAUUCCAUGUGUAGCGGUGAAAUGCGUAGAGAUGUGGAGGAAUACCGGUGGCGAAGGCGGCCCCUGGACAAAGACUGACGCUCAUGUGCGAAAGCGUGGGGAGCAAACAGGGAUUAGAUACC
rnacentral:rRNA from 1 species